AACGUAGGCAGGUCUGGAUGGUAUUUCUUUAAAGAUGCUAUCACUUUUAUUUUUUCACGUUUUUAUGCAAAUGUCGGCUUUGUGUUACGCUUUCUAUUACUUUUUUACUAACAUGCAUUUAAAGACUGGCCAGGGUGUCCUCUAUCCCAGGUAUCACAAGGCAAAGUGUUGUUCACUCAGAGCCACACACAGUGGGCGGCUCGUCCUUUGCAGACUUCUGUUAUUGUAGCUCCUUCCUGUGUGUUCACACAAGUAUGUGUGUAUGUGUGUGUUAUACUGUAUUCAUUUUAAGAUUACAAUAUUUUAGCCUUAAUGUCCUUUAUACUUAAAAAUGGUUAUGCAUGUGGGCUAAACUUAUUAGGACAGUUGUAGAUGCUUAUACUUUUUAAUUGUAUAUAUUACCAGGGCCAGACUUUGUGUUCGUUUCACUUCCUUUUUUAGUCACAAACAGAUUUGUUUUUCUUUGACUCUUCUCUGGGCGGGGGUAUCCCGGAUAUCCACCCAUUUCCUUUAAAUUUCUGUCUCUCCCCCAUUAGUCCACACAGCAGUUCUUCUAAAUCAGCCUCUUACAAUUCUGACUUACGAGAGACAGCUACGCAAACUGAUCCUGACAUGCCAGCCUUGAGAGGAGGUGCACAGGUUUGUGUUAGUGCACAAGGGAUAGUGGAUAUGAUCGACAACUUUGAUCGGCCUGCUAAUGCUUUUGCUGUUGCCAACUACGCUGACACCGGGGCAUUUGCAUUGGGAUUCGAGGCGUGUUCCUAAGGCAGGACUGUACGCACAUGCAGGAGUCGGCUAUGCUCGUGCCGAGUGCGGAAUUUUUGAUGCCGAGGCCAAAGGUCCUAAUGCCAGCGCAGGAGUUGGAGCCAGUGUUCUGGGGGCUAAAGCCUUUGCCAAAGCAGAAGUGGCCAGUGCUUCAGUCUCUGCUGGUACCUUGAAAGCUACAGCUGGUCUGGCAGUAGACACCGGAGUCGGCAUUGGCCCAACGGGACUAGAAGUUCAACUGCUAGGAACCGGCUUCUCCAUCGGUUCUCGAAUUAGAGUUUCUGUUUUGGGGAGUGGAUUUGAAAUUACCUUUAUCUAAGUACAGGUGUCUGUGGCUGUGUGUCGUUUGUGCCAGCUGACACAUUUAUUUUAUACUCAUUGGUCCUGAAACUUCUUACAACUGAAACUGGAUGAAUGUUGCAGCAUUUGUGUACGUUCCUUUCAUUCAUAUAUUUGUGUGAAAUAAACACAAUAUUUUCCAUUUUUGGAGUGCAAACUA